rnacentral:snRNA from 1 species
GUGCUUGCUUUGGCAGCACAUAUACUAAAAUUGGAACGAUACAGAGAAGAUUAGCAUGGCCCCUGCGUAAGGAUGACACAAAUUCGUGAAGCGUUCCAUAGUUUU